AACCGAAUAACGAAACUAUUUAAUGA
rnacentral:rasiRNA from 1 species